rnacentral:rRNA from 1 species
CCUACGGGAGGCAGCAGUGGGGAAUAUUGGUCAAUGGGCGCAAGCCUGACCCAGCAACGCCGCGUGAAGGAAGAAGGCUCUCGGGUUUUAAACUCCUUUUGACAGGGAAGAGCAGAAGACGGUACCUGUCGAAUAAGCCACGGCUAACUACGUGCCAGCAGCCUCGGUCAUACGUAGGUGGCAAGCUUGUUCCGGAUUUACUGGGUGUAAAGGGCGUGUAGCCGGGCUGAGAAGUCAGAUGUGAAAUCCGGGGGCUCAAACCCCGAACUGCAUUUGAAACUGUUGGUCUUGAGUAUAGGAGAGGCAGGCGGAAUUCCUAGUGUAGCGGUGAAAUGCGUAGAUAUUAGGAGGAACACCAGUGGCGAAGGCGGCCUGCUGGACGACAACUGACGGUGAGGCGCGAAAGCGUGGGGAGCGAACAGGAUUAGAUACCCUGGUAGUC